ensembl:lincRNA
CCCCCCCCCCCCCCUGCCUUUUUUUUGCUGGUUGGGGGUUUUUUGGGUUUUUUUUUUUUUUUUCUUGUUGUCCUUUUUUUUUUUCUUUCUUUCUCUUUUUGGUCCAAACCUGGUGAGAGGAAGUAAGGGUAGCGUGUUCUUAAAGCACUACCAGGAGCACUUCAUCUAACCGAACAAUGUUUAUGGUACUUUAUUUAGUCCCCGCCCGGCGCGCCCUUUGUAAACCUUAGUGAUCAGCUGGCCCAUCCGCCAGACCGUUUGAAAAAUACUACGGCUGUGGUGAAAACUUCAGGGAAGAAAGGUUUUUGCUCUCCAAAAUAGUUCUGUCCCUGAAACUGAAAUUCAUUUUCUUUGCAAUGUAGUACUCUAUUCCUGUAAACAUCCAUAAACUUCAUGGUUUUUUUUUUUUAUAAUUACUGAAACUUGCUAAACGCCUCUGUGAUUUGAAGUUCUUGGUUUCAUACUGUGUUGUUAUUCCUAUUUGAGUGACAGACUUUAUGAAUGUGGAUUACUGUUAAUUUGAAGUAAAUAAAAUGCUGUUUGUUUUAUAAAAUUUACUUCUUCCUGUCCCCAAUCAAUCGCUACAGCUUCAGUUUAUCCUAGAAAGCUAGAGGCAAGAAACAGGGAGAAAUAAAAGCCUAGUAUAAAAUAAAAUGUAACUUCGCCAUGGUUUUAAAAGUAAGGUAUUUUAACAUAUCUGCAGAUAAGUAAAUUUGUUUAAAUGCCAACAGAUACUGGUGUAGCCAGGAAAAGGGGGGUUAAUCUUGCCGGGUUGUUCAUUUCAUUAAAUACUCCAUUUCACCGUUUUGUGUUUUGUUUUUUACUUCAGGAAAAUUCAAGAAGGAUGGAGACAAACUAUAUGGCUCUUCCCCCAACAGUUCCUUCCUGCCUUUCUGCUUUCUCUUCCUCUCAAGUUAACAUCUACUGCCAUAAGCUUGCCUGAAGAUCAGGGAAGCAAAGCAGCCGGCCACUAGCUCUCACCUCAAGCUCAGGAUAAAAGGGUUGAUCCACGCACAAGUUCUUCACCAAGCCUCAAACUGAUGCCUCUCCUCAGCAUGGCUGGAGAAUGAAUGCUUCCUACUCAAUAGUGAAGACCCUGCUUUUAUCUUUUUUAAAGACAUGUGAUCUGUUACUCUUUCAGACUGAUUCAAUCUGGUGUAUCCCUGGGUGGCCUUGAACUCAGAGAGAUCUGUCUACCUCUUAAUCCUGAGUGCCAGGAUUAAAGGUGUGUACCACCACCUCCUAGCUUCUGGAUGCUGGCAUUAAAGGUGUGUGCCUGGCUUCUAUGGUUUGUGGCUAACUUUGCUUUCUGAAUCCUCAGUCAAGCUUUAAUAAAUCAUAAAUAACAUAUCACUACAUUCAAGUUUGUUUUUCCGUGUGUCUCAUGUGUGCUCACCUGCCUUUCUGCCAUGUUACAACAGCCCAAGAUGACCCUUAAUCUUGUGCUUCUCAUGAGACAAAUGAACUUCUGUGGUGUGUGAUUUAUUCAGUCUGUGGUAUUCCGUUAUAGCAGUAUAAAAUGGGCCUAGACAAAGGGUAAAUUUUUGUUAAUUAUGAAUAAAGCUGUUUUAGGCGUUGGCAUAUAGGUCUUUGGGUGAAUGUGUUUUUGUAUUUCUUAAGUUAGAGAAGAGAUUUCUGGGACACUGGGUGCAUGUUUAGCUUUAAUGGUUGCCA